GCGUUUGCUCACACUUGGGAGGAGUAAAUGGGGAACCGGCAGCUUCCUGAAUCAGAGACAACGGAACUACGCUUAAUAGGAUGAUAGGAAACCAAAUCAUCAUAUUGAAGAUGAGAGAGAGAGAGACAUCACGCGCGUGCGCAUGCAGGAACAGGAAGAAGAAGAGCAAGAAGCAGUGUCCCCGCUGAGCCCAGAGCCCUAGGACCUGGAGAUCAUGACCUGAGCAGAAAAGGCAGACACUUAAUUAACCAUCUGAGCCAUCCAGGCACCCCCAAAGGGAUGUCUUUUUGUAUAACCAUUCCAACUAUUAUGACAGAGUUUGGAUAUGGCUGUUUGAAAUCCCUAGCAAAUUAAUGAAUCUAGGCAUGGAGCAUCUAGGUUUGGAUGCUUCAAUGGUUAAACUGAGGGAAAAGAAAGGAAUGGAGAGGGAACCUAUAGACUGAGACUUUAGAGGCAUAGGAGAUUCUUAAAAAUGGGCAAAACUUAACUAUAAUGGCCAAAGAUCCACAUUUGGGUGAUAAAACUACAAAAACACAAUUAAAGGACAUGCUUAUCAUACACCAUAGUAUCCAUUUAUGCCAGGAGGGACAGGCUGUGAUGAAGAUGAAGAACACAGUGGGGUGGUGGGGGAGCUUUGGAUGUCUGCAAAGUUCUGUUUCUUUCUCUGGGUGAUGGUCUAAAGGGUAUUCAUUUUCUGUUAGUUUAUUAAACUAUACUUCUGUUUUUUCAUGGUUUUCUGUACCUGUGUUUUAAAAUAAAAAGGUAUGGGACUCUU